GUGAGGAAUAUUGGUCAAUGGGCGCAAGCCUGAACCAGCCAUCCCGCGUGCAGGAAGACGGCGCUAUGCGUUGUAAACUGCUUUUCCAGGGAGAGAAACUUGCGCACGUGUUGCGCAAUUGACGGUACCCUGGGAAUAAGCAUCGGCUAACUCCGUGCCAGCAGCCGCGGUAAUACGGAGGAUGCGAGCGUUAUCCGGAUUCAUUGGGUUUAAAGGGUGUGUAGGCGGACUAUUAAGUCAGUGGUGAAAUCCUGCAGCUUAACUGCAGAACUGCCAUUGAUACUGAUAGCCUUGAGUUUGGUUAAGGUAGGCGGAAUGUGUAAUGUAGCGGUGAAAUGCUUAGAUAUUACACAGAACACCAAUUGCGUAGGCAGCUUACUGAGCCGACACUGACGCUGAGGCACGAAAGCGUGGGGAUCGAACAGGAUUAGAAACCCGAGUAGUCC
rnacentral:rRNA from 1 species